GGAUGAACGCUGGCGGCGUGCUUAACACAUGCAAGUCGAACGGAAAGGCUCCUGCUUGCAGGGGUACUCGAGUGGCGAACGGGUGAGUAACACGUGGGUGAUCUGCCCUGCACUUCGGGAUAGGCCUGGGAAACUGGGUCUAAUACCGGAUAGGACCACAUUUUGGAUGGUGUGGUGGAAAGUUUUUCGGUGUGGGAUGAGCUCGCGGCCUAUCAGCUUGUUGGUGGGGUAAUGGCCUACCAAGGCGUCGACGGGUAGCCGGCCUGAGAGGGUGUACGGCCACAUUGGGACUGAGAUACGGCCCAGACUCCUACGGGAGGCAGCAGUGGGGAAUAUUGCACAAUGGGCGCAAGCCUGAUGCAGCGACGCCGCGUGGGGGAUGACGGCCUUCGGGUUGUAAACUCCUUUCGCUAGGGACGAAGCGCAAGUGACGGUACCUGGAGAAGAAGCACCGGCUAACUACGUG
rnacentral:rRNA from 1 species